CGCGCGUGUGACUCUUAGUACAGCUGACUCAUGCUUUGUUUCACCGGCAUUGGAAAGCUCGUGCCGGAGCGGCGACAGAAUCUCACCAGACGGCUGUGAUAUUGCACUUCUAUGGCUUCCGCCGUCUUAGCUAACCGGAACGAACCUAAUUGGCCGCAGCAUAGAGUCGGUGGAGCUGGAUUCAUGGGAAAAGCACCCUUCGCUAACCCUAACCCUAAUUCUAAUCCUAAAUUAGCAAAUAGCAAAAGGAACCAAUCGGCUUCGGACGAUGCUUCCUCUAUCAACAGGCGAUCCAACGAAGUAGUAACUCACUCCCAAUACGUGUCCUUCAACAUCGGAUCCUUAUCGAAGAAGGAACUCGGCGACAUCAAGAAUAGGCUUGUGUCGGAGCUCGAACAGGUUCAGAAAUUCAGAACUCGAAUCGAGUCAGGGGAGUUGCAACCUGGGCAGAGUUUCAAUGGCGGCCACCCGAAGAAAUCAUCGAGCAAAAAGGUUUCCGGUAACAAACGACCCCUGCCGUUGAAUUCCGCGAAGGAUUUUAAACGGUCGCUUCCGGAAGUUGGGAACUUGAUGAAGGGCUGCUCGCAGGUUUUGCAGAAGCUGAUGAAACACAAACAUGGGUGGAUCUUCAAUGUACCAGUUGACGCUGUCGGAAUGGGUCUCCAUGAUUACUACGAUAUAAUUAAACAGCCUAUGGAUCUCGGAACGGUGAAGUCCAAUCUCUCCAAAAACAAGUACUCGGCCCCUUCGGAUUUCGCCUCUGAUGUGAGGUUAACUUUCAAGAAUGCACUGACUUAUAACCCUAAGGGUCACGAUGUGUACACCAUGGCGGAGCAGCUUUUGACGAGGUUUGAGGAGCUUUAUCGCCCGAUGCAUGAGAAAUUCGAAGAUUUGGUUGGACAUGAUCGUGAUUUCGAGGAGGAAUUGCAGGCCAGUUCGUGGAGCCACGUUGAGCCAGAGAGAGUGAAGAAGAAGGAGAAUCUGAUCCCUCAUGCGAAAUUUCAACAAGAGCCUCCUCAGCCUCCUGCAAGUUCUUCUAACCCUCCUUUGCUGCAGUUCCCCGUGCGCACACCUUCUCCCAUGCGAGCCCCACCCGUUAAGCCUUUGAAGCAACCUAAGCCGAAGGCUAAGGAUCCCAACAAGAGGGAGAUGAGUCUUGAAGAGAAACACAAGCUUGGGUUAGGACUGCAGAGUUUGCCAGCAGAGAAAAUGGAACAGGUGGUGCAGAUCAUAAGGAGGAGGAACGGGCAUUUGAAGCAGGAUGGGGAUGAGAUCGAGCUUGAUAUUGAGGCUGUUGACACAGAGACCCUUUGGGAACUUGAUCGGUUGGUGACUAAUUAUAAGAAGAUGGUUAGCAAGAUUAAGAGGCAGGCAUUGAUGGGCAACAACAAUGUGGCUCCACACAAAGCCAAUAUGGUAUAUCUUCUACCAGUUUGAUCACUUUAUUUUUGGGCUCGAAUUCUUACUUAGCAUUGACAGUAAUGUCGUUACCAGUAACUAAUUUUUGGUGCUUUAUUUGACAGGAAUUGCCUGCCGGUGAGAAGGCUGAUGGGAUGCCAACUGAGUUGAAGAAGCCAAAGAAAGUGGAAGCAGGAGAUGAGGAUGUUGACAUUGGGGAUGAGAUGCCAAUGAGUAUGUUCCCGCCUGUGGAGAUUGAGAAAGAUAAAGAUGUUGCUGGUGGCCAUGCAACCAGUAGUUCUAGUAGCUCUAGCGGUUCAAGCAGUGAUUCCUCAUCGUCAAGUGGUAUUCCCCUGCCUUAGUGUAGGCUUUGGUUUGUGGUUGAAACUAUUUUUCUGAGGAAAAAACUUAAAAAAAAGUUUUAUUGCCAUUGCAGAUUCGGAUUCCGGGAGUUCCUCAGGAAGUGACUCUGAAGCAGACAAUGGGCAUUCGUAGCAGUGAGGGAUAUUUGUUACUAGUGGUCAAACAUGAUCAUGCGGGUGGGUGGAUGAAGAAAUGCAUGCUUCAUUGGCUUCCUUUGAGGGUGAGGAUUGAAAACAUGGACAAGGUAUGCCCAUGUCAUUUUGUAUAUUAUUCUUUUGGUGCAGUGAGAUUUUUCAGAGAUGGAAUGAUUGGCUGGCUAAAUUUGCGAUUAUCUUUCAUUUCAGGGAUUGUGAUAGUUGUUUGUUUUGUGAGUUGGUUUCGGGAGUGGCGGUUUGGAUUGUGGAGCUGGACACCUGCUCGAGGAUUUGGGUGUGUUAUAAAUCUGUACAAAUAUAUUCGGAACCUAAAGUUAUCACCAAAACGAUUUGUAGGCCAGAACGUUGACUGAAAUGUGAAAAUCCUAGGAUAGACUCGUUGAAGAUUUAGGAAUAGAAUGCAGAGAAUUAAUAUUUGAGUUUUACCUUGUACACAUUAGCAACGGUAUAUAGAUUGAACUUCUCUCUUUCAAAUCCAUUUUGUGGAUCUGUGCAUUGGAUUUUUUGAAUCGUUAAUCAGUCUAAUGACCGAGGUACGAAAAAGCUACGAAGAUGAAUCAAUUGAUUUAAGGUCGUCCAAUCAGACAGGGUCGUGGUUAUACCUCUAGUUACGGAUUAUUCCUGUGUGAAGAUUUGCUAGAUGCCACGUGUGGUCCCCGAAGAAUCAAAACAUUCCUUCGGUGGUUCAUGGCUACAGAAUUCAGCCUUUUUAAAGAGAGGCAUAACUGAGGCGUUUAUACGUGGAAGGGGUUUGAAGUGCUUGAGAUGCCUCGGGACUGUUAUCAGUUUACUGGUUGUGGAGUUUUGGUACUUGUCUACUAAAAAAUAAUCAACUUCAGAGUGGGAUAGGAUUUAACAUUGGAUGGAAUAUAUAAUACCUAUUGCCUACUAGACGGGGAAGACACAAGAUUCAUCCUUCUCCAAUGGGCUAUUUUCUUCUUUGUGGCCAAUUUUUACUUAGGAUAAUUUUUUAGAAUGUGUAUGAUUUUUUGUGCCUUCACUUAUUGCCCAUCAUAUGGAGAAUACUAUGAAACAUAACAUGGAUGGAUCGGUCUAUCAAGGCUCACUCAGGUAGUGCUUAUGUCUGGGGCUCUCAUUGUGACAUUGGCAUUUGUUCGACAACAGUUAAAGCUGUACGUUGGCAUUUGUUCGACAGUAAAGGCUGAGCUGCGGGGUCUGUGGCACGGUUUAUAAUGCUCUUUUAAUCCUUAAAUGUCACCAACGAUUUUGUUGAAAUGGAUUCUCAAGUAGCUUUGUACUUGAUCUGGUGCGGAUAUGAAUUUUUCUCUGUUGUUUUUCUUCUUGUCAUGAGCAACCGGGAGCUGGUUGGCACAUUACUUUCUUGUUAACUAUGGUAAUUCUGUAAACUUCUUUGUUCAGGUUUUCCUGCCAUCGAACUCCCUUCCCUGGUAUGAUUGUGUAAUCUGUUCUGUUGGGCAUUGCGGCUUAUUUCAAUUACGAAAAGAAUGAAAACCUGUUUCCUCAUGAAUAUAUUACUAUUUGACAUUGUUUUUUUAUUGUCGGGGGGAGACCACAUUAAGAUUUAUUCAUAAUAAACUAAGCUUAUACCAAAAAGGUUGAAAAUCAUACCCAUUUAAAGUUUAAUAAAGUUGAUUUUGAAGUGAUAAAUGUGGUAGAAUGUUUGUUUAAAUAAAGGAUGGAGAAUUGAUCUUUAGAUGAUAUGAUAGAAACAGACAGCAAUCCGUCAUCCAUUCCUCUAUCAGAAUUCAGAAGCUGCAGAAUGGGCAUGAGCAGUCUGUGUCAACCCAUUACUAAUAUUUCAUUCUCAUUCAUUAAGUCUUGGUCAUCACUUUCUGCAUUCCAUGUCUUUAAUUUUCCCUAAUGACCCAUUUUGCCCUCUGCAAAUGCUGUUUCUGUUUUCAUUUAACCUUUUUAAUCUUAUUUCUUUCCUUAUGCGUUGGUAGUAGUAUUAUAAAAAUGGAGGAUAAACCUUCUAAAACAUACAAGACCAAUUCAUCUCAUGAAGUAAGAAACUUGGUAAUCCAAUUUGAGUUUAUCUAACAACAGUGAUGAUAAAAUUAUUCUUUUAACGUUUUAUCCCCAUGCUCAUCCUCAUCCUCGUAGUCUUACCCUUGAAGUAGAGAAACACAUUGUCCAAUCUCACUUUUGUUUUGUACCAAGUGAACAAACACAUUUACUAAAUAUUAUACGUAUUUGAAGUUUCGUAAAUAAUUAUUUAUUCUGUAAUAUCUUUGGUUUAUCUUUGAAUUCAAACAUAAAUCAAAUAGUGUAAAAGAAAUCUAAAACCAAUUAUAUACUAAUAUAUUCAAAAUAUUAAAUUAGGAAUUUAUAAUAAUUAUAUAUUCUAUUAUUAUAUGUUCAGAUCACAUUAAUUUUAAACGUAAAAGGUUUCAUAAAAACAUGUGUAAAGUAACUAAAUUUUGAAUUUGAUUUAUAAUGAAAUAUAUUUUUUAUUGAACGUAAAUCAAUAGUUUCUAAGAGAUGGUCUCAACUUGAGACUUGAAUUGAUAACACGAGUUUCAUUUAAACGGAUUGGUUUAGAUUGAAAUCGAACACAAAGAAUAGCAGUAAAUACAUGUUUAAGCUCUAAUAUAAAAAUGAUAAAAAAAAGUUAAAAAUAUUGAAAGUAAUACUUGACUUUAUUAUACAUAAAAAAAAAUACUUACCCGCAAAGAUUAAUGUAUUUUAAUUAUGUAUAAAUAAAUACUUUUUAACUCAUUUCACACGCACACAAAUAAUAAUAAUAAUAAUAAUAAUAUGAAAUAGUAACAAUAAUAAUAGUUAAGAGACAGUGGCAGUAGAUGGUAGUGCAUUAAUAUCUAUCUGUCAUACAUACAUGUAUUUAGAGGAUGGAAAGAUGAAUUAAUGACAUUAAUUAUAUGUAUUUGUAGUUUUAAAUGCUAAGCUUAAUUCAUAUUAAAAAUGUAUUACACUUAUUUUCACCUCUAAAUAGAAAAGUAGAAACCAUGGCACCAAAAUAAUUAAGGGUUGAAUUGAAUUAUGUAUUUUAAUUUUUAGCAGCCGCCAGAACCUGAGACAGUUUAUGUUGUUUUUAAAUUAAGUUUUGAGCUUAAAAAGGAAGUGCUCAUUACACAUCUUCAAUCCGUCAAAUCCCACCCCGUUUAUUCUUCCUUUGCUCAUCAUCGUAGCCGUUUUAAUUUGGAACAAAAGUUUAUUAAAACUGUGAAACUAUAUGUGUUUCAUUAUUAUUAAAUUAUAUGAUAAGAGUUAAAAAAAUGUUAAUAUUAAUUUUGUUUUUUUAUAAUUUUUAGCUAGAGGUGUAUAAUUUUUAUUUUGUUUAUUUUAAUUCUAAUAUUUAUUAAUUGACUCUUGUUUCUUUAUUUUUUUUUCAUACAUUACUUAUCUAUAUUCAGAUUAUUUAUUUUGAUUUUAAUUUAAAAAAAUAAAUUAUUAUCAUAUUUUUAUUUUUUAUUUAUCUCUAUUCUAAUUUAAAAAUAAUUAUGUGAUUCCAUGACAUCACAGGGGAAUUGUGUUUAACCAUUUUUGUCUUGAGAUUCAUCCAUAGAUUCAGGGCGUUAUUGAUGGAAGCAUACAAAAACUGUGGUUAUCGCGUAAUUGCAACAUUAUCAUGCUACUUUAAUCGCUAAUCAUCUCAUCCUCAUACUUCUAAACUAACAUGCUAAAUGUAAUUAUCAACUCAGAAAUAUCUUACUAUAAACAAUACUAUUAGAAAAUACUUUUUAAUCCGUCUUACUAUUUCGCAAUUUCUAUUUCUUUUGCUUAAUUUUUUAAUUACUCUCAUGUUAUAUUUACAUCAUUCUUUUGGUUUAAAAUUACAAUACGUUUUAAAAAUAUAGUACAAGAAACACUUUAAUGUAAUAUUUAUGCUAAAAGGAAUUAACAUUUCUUAAAUUUAACUUAAAAUAAAUAUAUAAUUUAUAUUCCAUGGCGAUACCAAUAGACAGAAGAUCAAAUAUGAAAUAAAAAAAAAUCACUAAAUGACUAAAAAAAACCUAUUUUAUUUAAAAUUUAAAUAAGAAAAACAGUCACACACAUUUUGAGAUCAAUGAGAAAAUGAUAACCAUAAAUGGUAAAUAAAGAAAAUGUUGAUCACGCAUUCGAAAUGACCAGACAAAAGUAAACGACGCAAAGAGUAAAACAAAAUUGGCACAAAAGGAAGCAAAAAAAAAGUGUAGCAACCUCAAUGUUGUAAAGGGAGUGAAAGACAAGUCCAAGUACUCAUACAAAAUAGUUUAAUUCAAAAUUUAAAUGUGAAAUAUUACUAAUUUAUCUGCUAACACUCAACUCAAAUAAAAUUUAUUUUUUAGUGAAAAAUAAUUCCCAAUGGCAAUACUAAUUUUUAACAGCACUUAAAGAAGUCUAUAUGUGGAAGUUAAAUGAUAAUAGGUAAAUGAACACUACAAAACUAACUAUUUCUUCUAUAAAAUCGCUGAAUAUUAAUUAAUAUGAUACUAAAUUAUUUAACAAUUAGUAAGUUAUAUGUGUAGGUGAACUAAUCUUAAAUUUAACUACUAUUAUUAUUAUUAUUAUUAUACAAAAUAAUAAAUGUGUGUUUCUAUAGUGUUAAAAUUUAGUUAAACGUUUAUCCUAAAUCAAUAUUUUUACAUCAUAUCUUAUAAAUAUUAAUCAUAUCUUACAAAACAAAUGUUAUAUAUGUUGUUAUAAGGGUAAAAUAGUCAAUUAAUAGUUAUGAGAUAUUAGGAUCAAUUGAUGGAUAAGGACAAAAUAGAGUAAAAUUGUUAGUCAAAUGACACAUAGAGUCGAGAACAUGAAAAUUAAUCUCAACCAACAAAAAUGACAAUAAAAAGUUGAUCAAUCAAACUUCAAGAAGCAUAAGGAUGACAAAUCAUUUAUAAUUAUCUCUCUCCUUCACUCUUAGGGGAUUAUUUUCUUUAAUAUGUGUACUAACAUUCACUAAGUUAGUGAAUAUUUUUCUCUCUUGUAAGAAACUUUUGUGACACGAAAUAUUGUUUCUUUCACCCUCUCUUUUCCACCUUGUAUGUGAGUAUAACACAUGUGUAUUUAUAAAUAUAAUGAUAAAUAAAUGUUUAUUCUAGAUCAACAUGUUUGUCAUUCCCUACCAUAUUGUCCUUCUACUAAUAAUUUUAAAUUAAUUUGUUUGUUACGAAAUCCUCCUUUACUAAUGAUUUUAAAUAAGUGCUUAUGAAGUAUGAUACGAGCUUACACAUUUUUCUAGUGGAUAGUUUAUAUAGAUUUUUUUAUUAAUUUAAGUUUCUUUUAAAAAUUAAAAUUUGGUUAUAAUACUUUUUUACAAAGGUAUGAUUAGUCCUUUAAAUAUGAUGAAAAUUCAUAGGAUUCUUUUCAUAUUCUUUUACAAAUUUUGUUUUUUAUAAACAAAUAAAAUGACUUUAAGUCUAAUUCAACUUUAUAAAACGUAUAAGGUGAGGUUUGUGCCUACUUAUAAAUUAUGAAAUGUUUUAAUCUCUAGUUUAUGUGGAAUUUCCAACAUAUAUUUAGAGUAUCAACUCGUGCGUGAGACUGGGUCGGAUAACGGGUGACAUGAUAAACCCAACAAACUCUUGUUAUGAUAGACUUUGAGAUGACUCUGAUACCAUAUUAAAGAGUGAAUUUUUAAGUUUAACUCAACCUCAUAAAAUUGGCUUAUAAGGUGAGGUUUGCACUUACUUAUAUACUAUAAAAUGUCAUAAUCUCUAGUUAAUGUGAAAUCUUCAACAAAUAAAAUUUAUAUUUUUUAUUCAAUACGAGACGGAGAUAAAAAAAUCACACACAUAUAUAUAUAUAAUCCAAAAUACUCAUUUAAUUUAUCUCUAAAAUUAUAUAAUAAAUAUAAUGUUUUGCCACUCUUAACUACGUCUCUCCAAGUUUGCUUACUCACCACUGUUUUUAAAUGGACCAUAGUCUGUAUUUCUUUUUUUGCAUCGUAACUGUUUAAAAUUAUAAUUUUAUAACUAGAUUUAUUUGUGUAUUCUUUUAUUAAAAAAAAGUAACAUACAUACAUGUAUGUUUUUAAAAAUAUUAUAUUUUUUUCUUUAAUAUUUUUGUCUUUCUAAAAUCUGAACAUAUUUUUAGAUCCUACUAAAAUGUAAAUAUAUAUAAAAAAAAUCUUAAUAUACUAUUAAUUAUACAUUUAAAUAAAAUAACUGUAAAAUUCAAAUAUUAAAGUCGUGAUCAAUAUUAGUUUUCUGUCUAUUAUUACUACUAAUAACAAAAAAUAUUUAAACUUUAAAGAAACAGAGUAAUAUGUAUUUUUAAGAAAUCUAUUUAAAAUUUAACAAGUAUAUAAAUACAUUUUACCCAAAAAUAAAUAGCAUUGUAACUUAUUGUUAUUUUAAAGUGUGAAAUUUAAAAAUAAAUCUUGAAAUUUAUGAACUUUGGAAAGAAUUGCUACGUUUUCUUUACAGUUGCCAAUGACUAUGUGAUUUUUUUUAAUUGUUUACAUUCUUAUGGGCAAAAUAUUUUUUUCCAUCUCUAUAAUUCCAAUAACAUUAUUAUCAUCUUCUAUAUAAUAUACUAUUAAUACUUACAAUGGUUUUUAAAUAAUUUUUUUAUAAAUUUGUUAUAUGAAAAAAGAAAUAGAAGCAAAAUAAAUAAAUAAAAAACUGUAUAAUUAUUUUAUCAAAAUAAUAUAUUUUAGUAUGUUGAUUGAUUCUUACGAAAAUAUAGAAAACAUAAAAAAUGAGAGAAGAGAAAGUAAUUAACACAAAAUCAUUCAAAGAUGGGUAAAAUUGAAUGUGGUGACUGUAUAAAAAAAAUGAUAAGAGGCAUGCAUGUGGCUUCCAACUACAAAUCUCAACAAUAUUGGGAUUUCAAAACCCUCUUUUAAAUGCAUCACAAAGCAUUCAAUGCUAUAAAUAUUUUGGAUACCUGUAUUUUUUUUAAAAUAUAAAAGAUAACACCAAAGAGUUAAUAUGCAUGGAUGAAUAUCCAAAAAAUAUAUAAAAUAUAUACAUUGAUAUUGUUUAUGUGCUUCAAUAACCACUUAUCCUUUUACGAUAUUUAUGUGAAUAUGAUUUAUUGUAAAUUUAAAAUUAGGACUAUAAAUGUUUAAAGAUCUCACCGAAAUAGGAAUGUUAAUUUAUAGUAUAUAAAUGGGAUAACUCUUAUCUUAUAAGAUGUUGAUUUUGUAAUAAUGAGUUAGAAUUAACCAUAUGUCCUAAUAUGAUAUCAGAGUUAAUCAUGUUUUGUUACACUACUUAUUAUAACUUAUUUAUUACAAAUAAUUUAUAAUUUCUACCUUAAUUUUUUAGAAUUAUUGGUACUAAUCAUAAAAAUUACUUUUUACAAAAUUUAUAAAAGUGUGUAUAUUACAUGUGGUUAGUUUUCUUUAUCUUUUUCAAGUCACUUACUUUGUAAAUUUGAAAUAAAAAAAAAAUGUAUUCAAUUUAUAAGGUAACUUUUCUUUGUUGUGGUUGAGAGGAUUCAUACAAAAUUUUAUUUCUCCAUAUAUAACAUGGACAUACUUGUUUUGCUUUAAAUACUAUGAUAAGGUGGUUCAACUUCUCUUGAUACUACCUUAAUCCAUUUUCAAGCAAAUUAUUGCAUGUAAAAUAAGUGAAAAUAAAAAUUUAAUUUUUUUAAGACAAUUAAUUUAUUUUAUUAUUAAACUAAUGCCAAUAUAUCAUAAAGUAACAAGAAGAAGUAUCUUCAAUCCAAACAUUUCCACCCAAUUUAAAAACUAACUUAAAAAAUUGAUAGGUCGAAAGAUCGAAUGACUUAUUAAAUUGUGCUUAAUGUAUUUCUUAAAGUAGUGACACAUAAAUAUAGCAAAAAAAAUAUUAAUUAUUAACUAAAGUCAAAAUUAUAAAAUAAAACUUAAUUAGUGGACCUAUUCUAAAGUGAAAAAAAGGUAAUAGAUCCAUCAAGUCUAUUAUUGAUUAGUAUAAAUAACAAUGCAUUUAAUUCAAUAGUUAGAUAAUUAAUAAAUAUUUAAGAACCAAAACCGACUUAAACAUAAGUAAAUUCCUAUAGGUAUCUCCACCCUUUGAAUCAUCAUACCAAGAGGUUGAUAACACACACCCUAUUGUUGUAAAAAAAGAAUACGAAGUUGCUGAAAAAGAAGAUCAAGUAACUGAAAUUAUUAAUUAAAAAACAUAUGAGAUUUAGUUGAAUAUACUCUCCACACAUAUUUUAUAUUUUAUAAGAAUAAUUACCAUUAAAGUUACAUAUUUAGAAAUUCACGCAAAACUCAAUUCACAUUUAUUUUCUUGUUCUUUAUCCAAAAUGUGGGUAUUAUAAUUAGAACAAUUGUAUUAGCAGUUGAAUUGAAUGAGUUUAAUUUUUUAAGUAAUCUAAUUUGGUAAUGUCAUAAAUUUCUAAAAGUAAUGAACUUAUAUUGCCUAUUUUACAAUUAACAAAGCUGUAUAAUUUGGCAAGACAACAUAUUUCUAAAACUAUUAAUCUUCUUAUUUAUUGGCCUAUUAGAGAAUUUUCCAUCUCUACUUUAACAUUUAUUAGCUUUGGUCACAUAUGCAGUAUCUAUAAAAGCAUAUAUUUGUAGAUUUUGUUGCUGUAAGGAGACAUUUAUUACAAAAUUAAUGUAUAUUACUUUUGAUAUAUUUUUGAAAAAAAGGAAAAAUAAAUUUUAUUAGAACUAAAUUAUUGGUAAAACGUCCAUAACUUCCACCAAUGUCUCAUUAUGUCUUUUACAUGACACCAGCAAAACAAUUAGCCAAAUACAAUAAAAAAUAAAAUACACAUUCUAGAGCAAUUAUUCCAAACAUAAAAUAAAUUGGAUUUAUCACUAAUAGAAGUAUUGUUCUCUUUGACCUUUAAUUUUAGACAACUCCAUGAUUUAUGAAUUGCUUUUCAUUCAGAAAUUUCUAUAGUUAAAUAUUUUUUGUGGAUAAAUUUAUACAACAAAACUAUCUAAAAAGGGUUAUUUCAGAUAAAAUCCAUUUUUCACAAUAACUAUGUUUAAUUGGUUAAUAGAUAAGUUAAGUCAUAUUAAAAAAACAUCAAAACUAGCAAUUGUAUAGGUAGUUUGAUUAUGUACUACACAUAGUCUAAUUGGUCAAUGAGAAAAAAAGAGUAGCAAUUACACUUAGUUCCUUAUUUUUAUGCAAAACUAGACAAAUAUUGUAUUAUAUAGUUUUGGUCUAAUUAAAAGACUUUGAGUGAUAUGAAUGAAAUUUAAAAAAUUAACCUUAUUAUUGGCAUUGUAUUAAAAUGUGAUAACUGAUAAAGAAAAGAUAAGGUUUGUUAUUUAAAUUGUAAAAUAAGUUUAUUAAAAUUACAGGAUGAUAUGUAACAUAAAUAUUAUUUUAUUUACUUGUUAAAUAAUUUAUUUUUUAGUUUUUAUAUAAACUUUUAAUCCGAAUACAUCUCUUUGUUUUUUUCAAUUACACAUUCUUAUUUUUUUGUUCUUUUUGUUUUAUCAUUUAAAUGUACAUUUCAUCACACCCCUAUCAACCUAAGGCAUAAACAUUUCCUUCUCAAUCAUCUCAAAUUAUUAUUAUUAUUAUCUAUAGUAUUCAUACUUGCACUUUGUCUCUAAAUUGAUUUUCAAUAUUUUUUAGAGAAAACCAUAGUCAAUUAACCAUAACAAUUUAAAUUAUUCAUUUCAAAUAUACUUUAUAUACUUAAAUAAUUAUUUAUAUAGAUUGUAAUACAAUCUAUAUGUUAAAAUAUUUGUUUAAGACAACUUUAGUUAUAUAAAAUGUUAAAAUUCUCCUACAGAUCUUAAAACCAAGAAAAAAAAGUGGCACCUGAAUUUUAAUAUCACUGGAACAAAAAAUCCUUUUUUCAGUCUCUUAUAAUGAGAGGUUGCUACACCAUCUCUAUAAUUAAUUAAAAUAAUUGAUAAUAAUAUUUUUUAAUGAUUAAAUUGAGAAUUUAGUUUUUUGACACCUUGAUUUUGAAGGUAGUUUUUAAAAUUGAAAUAGUAUGAAAUGUUUGAAUAUUUUCUUAAAUAAAUAAAUGAGAUAGUAAAAUUGAGUAUGCAUUUUUUGAGAUUUGACAGGUUCUAAAUUGAUAAGUGAGUUAGAUUAUUUUUUAUUUUUGUGUGAGAAAGAAAAAUGAUAGUCCAAAAAAUAAUAAAAAGUAGCAAUGUGGGUGAUAUUAUAAUUAGGUGAAAACAUAAGAAUCAAAGAACAAGUCUUCUUCCAAAUGAAACAUGAUUUCCUAUAAUACCCUUCACACUGACACGCGUUUUCCUGGUAACCACGCGCUGCGCGUAACUUCCCUCCCACACGCUGGAAACGCCAUUUUGGCCUCUAUCCACGUCACCAAUGUGGGCCCAAUCCACUGUCAAACCCUAAAUGCACAACACAUUCACUCUAAAUGCAUUUCAAACUCAAAUCCAAAUAAAAAACGGACCUCCUCCAUCUACCGGUCCAGAAUGCAACACGUGGAAGAAUAAAGAAAUCACCACCCUCUGUGCCAGAUCUUGCGGUCAGCUUUUGGGACAGCUGAGAAAAAAAUUUGAUCCGUCAGAUGAUGAAUCAAGAACGAAUGAACGGUGGAUAGAGCUUCCCGGAGCACCCACGGGCAGAUCUCAUUGCCUUUAAGAAGCGGCUCUUGCCCCUUUCAUUCCUCGCACAGAUUAGGGUAACCCGAGCUACAAACCCUGAACGCUACGUCUAAACUUUCCGGUUUUCUCUUUCAAAUUAGUGUCUCUGCCGGCGGUGCGUGAGGGUUUCCGACAGCGCGUGAAGGUACUGGUCGCGCGUGAUUCCCAGUUCACCGCUGACCUAUGCGUUGUUCGACCCACAUUGGAGAGUUCACGCCGGAGAGACGGUGGAAUCUCACCGGACGGCCGUGAUUUCGCACUUCUAUGGCUUCCGCCGUCCUUGCUAACCGGAACGAACCUAAUUGGCCACAGCAUAGAGGCGGUGGGGCUGGAUUCAUGGGAAAAGUACCUUUCUCUAACCCUAACCCUAAUUCUAAUCCUAAAUUAGCAAAUAGCAAAAGGACCCAAUCGGCGUCCGACGAUGCUUCUUCUAUCAACCGGCGAUCG
rnacentral:lncRNA from 1 species